rnacentral:lncRNA from 1 species
GACCGACAAUAAAAGCCCAAAUAUUAGCAGACUUUAUAGUGGAAUGCACUAUCUCGGAAGAAGUCAAACUUGAACGAGGUGAAGCUGACAACCCCGGGCUCCAGCCGAACUCCCCUGAGGAAAGAAUGGAUCACCCUGAUGGUUUUUGGGCCCUCUAUGUAGACGGUUCCUCCAACAUAUCAGGCGCGGGCGCGAGCCUGAUCUUGGUCAAUC